UGAAUACGAGACGCUAAGGCGUCGAAGUAGUGUAUGUCAUACUUCCAAGAAAAGCUUGCACUGUCAUAGAUAAAAAACGCCUGUACCAUAACCGACACAGGUGGGUAGGUAGAGUAUACUAAGGGGCGCGAGAUAACUCUCUCUAAGGAAUUCGGCAAAAUAACUCCGUAACUUCGGGAGAAGGAGUGCCUUAUUCGUAAGGUUGCAAUAACAAGAUCCAAGCAACUGUUUAUCAAAAACACAGGUCUCCGCUAAGUCGUAAGACGAUGUAUGGGGGCUGACGCCUGCCCAGUGCCAGAAGGUUAAAGAAGUUGGUUAGCAAUUGCGAAGCUGAUAACUGAAGCCCUGGUGAACGGCGGCCGUAACAAUAACGGUCCUAAGGUAGCGAAAUUCCUUGUCGGGUAAGUUCCGACCCGCACGAAAGGCGUAAUGAUUUGGAUACUGUCUCGGAGAGGGGCUCGGUGAAAUAGACUUGUCUGUGAGGAUGCGGACUACCUGCACCAGGACAGAAAGACCCUAUGAAGCUUUACUGUAACUUGAAAUUGAAAUUGGACUUUAUUCGCGCAGUAUAGGUGGGAGGCGUUGAUUAUAAUCUUGUGGGAUUAUUGGAGCCAUCAGUGAGAUACCACUCUUGUAAUGUUAGAUUUCUAACUUUGAAUCAUUAUCUGGUCAAAGAACAGUUUCAGGCGGGCAGUUUGACUGGGGCGGUCGCCUCCUAAACGGUAACGGAGGCGUACAAAGGUUUCCUCUGAACGGUUAGAAAUCGUAUCUAGAGUGUAAAGGCAUAAGGAAGCUUGACUGUGAGACCUACAAGUCGAGCAGGGACGAAAGUCGGUCUUAGUGAUCUGACGGUACUGAGUGGAAAGGCCGUCACUCAACGGAUAAAAGUUACUCUAGGAUAACAGGCUGAUCUCCCCCAAGAGUUCACAUCGACGGGGAGGUUUGGCACCUCGAUGUCGGCUCAUCGCAUCCUGGGGCGGUAGUACGUCCCAAGGGUUGGGCUGUUCGCCCAUGAAAGCGGUACGCGAGCUGGGUUCAGAACGUCGUGAGACAGUUCGGUCCAUAUCCGGUGUAGGCGUUAGAAUAUUGAGAGGAGCCUUCUUUAGUACGAGAGGACCGAGAAGGACAUACCUCUGUGUACCAGUUAUCGUGCCAACGGUAAACGCUGGGUAGCUAUGUAUGGAGUGGAUAACCGCUGAAAGCAUCUAAGUGGGAAGCCCACCUCAAGAUAAGUAUUCAC
rnacentral:rRNA from 1 species